CAGCCGCCACGGUAACACGGAGGGUGCAAGCGUUAUCCGGAUUUAUUGGGUUUAAAGGGUCCGUAGGCGGAUCUGUAAGUCAGUGGUGAAAUAUAACAGCUUAACUGUGAAACUGCCAUUGAUACUGCAGGUCUUGAGUAAAUUUGAAGUGGCUGGAAUAAGUAGUGUAGCGGUGAAAUGCAUAGAUAUUACUUAGAACACCAAUUGCGAAGGCAGGUCACUAAGAUUUAACUGACGCUGAUGGACGAAAGCGUGGGGAGCGAACAGGAUUAGAUACCCCAGUAGUCCCUGUCUCUUAUAC
rnacentral:rRNA from 1 species